AGUUCAUUAAUUCAGAAAUUGUUAACAGCAAUUACUGCCCCAGUCAGCCCUCAGGAACACAGACUUCCCUCUGCACACCCAAAGCAGCUCAGUUCGCUGUGUAACCUUCACAGUUAGGAAAUUAUUAAGGCCUUUCUUGUGAGUGGCCUUCUCCAGAGCCUGCUAAGGCUGAUGCCAUGAUGGAGUCCUUCUUGCAAUGGAGGGCUGAAGAGAUCCCUCAUCUCUACACAGCUUCUGUUUGAUGGAACAGUUUAGAACCUCACCGUGUUGAAACCUGCAGUUCUCUAUCACUUGGCUUGGAAUUGCUGCAGUUUUUGAGGGAAAAGGAUCACUGCUGCUGCCAGUAUGGAUGAGUGGGACACUGGGACAUGUGCAAAACCUGCUCAUUUAUGGAACAAAAUAUCUCUGCUAUAACCACUCUUCAUACUCUUGGCUGUCUCCUGGUUCUGAUCCUAAUCCUCUUUACCUGUUGUAAAUCUUUUUGCUUAGGGAGACACUGACUAAUUUUGCUGCAAGUAGCAGAGGUUCUUUCCUUCACCCACAAUUAAAAUUCCAACUGUGAGAGAAGCCUUGAAAUCCUUUUCAGCGCAGAUGAUGAAAACAAAGUAUCACAGGGGAAUUGUGCUCUAAAAACUGGAGAAGACAAUAAAUGUUUUAUGAAAUUCUACAUCCUAAGGUCAAACUCAAUGCACAAAAAAGCUUAGGUGCAAACCCACAUUGCUGGUAAAACAUUUUGUUCUGGUCAGUCAAAAUUUAGAAUAUAAAAUGCCAGCGUUGCUCUCUUUUAUCUUACUGGAAGGAAAAAGGGGCCUGUAGAAAAGAAUGCAGACUUUCAAAGAUAUUUCAAUUUUUUUUUUAAAUAAUGAAGCUCACCUUGGGCACUUGGUGAAAGGAGAAAAUCAAUUUCUAUUUCAAACUUAGAAAUGUAUGUGCAAACCUGAAUCUGUAUUAAAGUGCUUAAUUUUUACUCAUUUUUUUUACUCUGCUUUCCCAAGUAGAUCAAAAACAAAACAAAAGAGAAGAGCCUGAUGUCAAGCUCUUAUUUGUGCAUUGUUUUUUCUUUCCAUGCUAGGAGUUUAUGGCAUAACAACUUCACUCCACAAGUGAGGAAGUGCAGUCUCGAGGUCCAAGUACUGGCCUGGGAAACCCACUUUGGUGACUUUUCUGCCACAGACUUCCCACAUGACCCGGGUCUGUAGAACAGGGACUGUAGCACUGCCUUUUCUUGCACAGAAUUUGGGGGAUGAAUACAUUGAGCGUGGGCUGCGCUGUCACAUUGAAAUACAGGUACAGUCAGAGCAUGAUGAACUUUGUGUGGGACAUGAAGUGCAGGAAAAAACCUCCCCACUCCCUCCCCCUCUUAAGGGGCAAAUCUGGAGAAGAAACUUGGGCAAAGUGUGAGAUAUAGAAACAGCUCCUGGACUUGAGGUGCCUCAUCACAACAUUCCUAACCAGGGCAAGGCGCUGGGGCAGAGGAGCAAGGUUUGCUGAGCUCCACGGGGCUGGGAAGUUUCUUUCCCCAAAACCCCCGCCAGGCUGUCAGAGAGCCCGGGCCGCUGCGCUGAAGGUGGGAGAAGCUGCUGUGCCCCGCACAUAAGGUCACUCCGGCUGGCUUUGAAGGCAAUCGAGCUGCGAUUAGCCGGCAAAGCAGACGGCCAUAAAAAUAAACACCCCGUGUGUGUUUGAGAACGCUUCCUCCGCCCUUGGCUGAGCUACCUGCUCCCAGCAGAUGGGGGAAGUGAGCCGGAGUGGCCCCGGUGAAGGUCGCCUGGGCAGACUGCAAGGCCAACACACAGAGCAGCAAUUACAUUCAGUGAGGUUAUUUGGAAGGGAAAAAAAACGUGGUAUGCUUUUAUUCCUUAUUUAUUUCGCAUUUAGACUUUCCCCUCUUGAUAAAAGGCCCACAGUACCUGCUGUAAAAUACUGAAUUUCAAAUGGCUCGGGCCAUCUGGGAAAUAAAAAAGCGUAUGUUUGAUUAUUUUCCACUGUAAUAAUGAGGAAAAAUCGGUGAUAAUGACUAGGGUUAUCUCUCAAUCAAGAAACAUCCUGGAGUGUGACAGACUCCAGCUCUACAACAGAUAUCCUGGGCAUCCAGAUAGGUUUCAAUGUCUCUGCCUCUAUUUUCCAUUGGUAAACAAUUCCAGGAUCCAGAGGUUGGAAGGGACCUUCGGACAUCCCCUAGUCCAGCCCCUGCUGCUCACUGGGGCCAGCCAGAGCAGCUUACCCUGCCCACUGUGGCUCUGAAUUCUCCAAGCAUGCAGAUCUCACUGCCCCUCUGGGCAACCUGUUCUACUGUCUGACCUCCCUUACAGUGAAAAUAGGACAUUUUGGAUUGUUGGAGUGGAAUUUCCUGUAUUUGGGAUUAUUCCUACUGCUUCUUACCAUGCAAGAUGGUGCCCAGUGAGAAAAGUCUGCCUCUGUCUUCUUUAUCCUUCCCCCCAGGUAUUUAUAGAUCCCUCCUGUAUCACCUCAUCCUGAGGCCAAAGACUCCCAGCUUGCUCAUCCUUCCCUCAUACGUCAGACGCUUCCAUGCCUUAAUCAUCCAAAUAUUUAACUCCAACUUGUCUAAAUCACCAGGAAUUUCCCCUGAAUUCUAGUGUGCUGUUUAAUGCUUCCUCCUGCCUGUGCAAUAAGGAGCUGCAGAAAGCAGAGCGUGAAGUCCCCCGUGGACGCCCGUCCCUGUGCCUCUCCCCUGGCUGGCGGCGGUGCCACCUGGGCACAGGGGGAUUGCAGGGCUGGCACUGCCAUUGCAUCACCUCCCAUCCCACAGCCAGGGAGGCUGUGACACCUCCAGCUGUGACAGCGGCCACCUCGGCCACCUCGGCGUGGCCCCAGGGGAAGGGGAGUGCCAAGGUGAAACCAGAAAUCAGAGGCAGAUGAAUCUCCCCUCUCUCCUCUGCUCUACACCAACUGUUUAAUCAGAAGUGGAUGAGCUGCUGGAACGGGAAAAAUAAAUGUAACCUUCCUCCUGCUUUGCACGGGGCUUUGGGGUGGAAGGUGCUACAGAAAUACUCCUCCUUUGGGAGACCACGCUUCAGAAGCACAGGAAAUUGCCUGGAUUUAAAAAAGGAACACAAGGAAUAAUGCUUUUCCAGGCCAGAGAAGGACAAGAGAUUUCCCUUCCUUUCUCUAGUUUAUCACAUCGCUACCAACAAAAAAAACCUUUUUCAUCAGAGCUUGGCCUUGCUCCCCCAGGUUUCAAUCAAAAUGGUUAUUGAUGAAAAAUCUUAAAAGGAUUGUAGCUAGAGAUACUGCAAACCCACUGCUCAGUGCUAUGCCAGAAUAAUUGCAACAAAGAUUCAAAGUCUCUUAUUGCUUCCUACCUCUUGAUUUCCGAACAUAGCCCACUGUUUUAGGUACAAAAUCUCCAAGAUUCAAUCAAAAUUCAAGAUAUCAGGUAACACACAUUAAUGUAAUUAGACAGCACAACAAAAUCAGGAUAAUUACAGCAUCUAUGGAAUUAGUUUGGCGACUUCUUAAUCCAUUUAUAAUUAUAAAUCAUGAAAGUGCAAGUGUGUACACAUGUCUAAUCAACUGGUGGCUGUCACACACAGCCCUUCUUCCUGUCCCCUUCCAUUUUUGUGAUCAGGCCUGCUCUUUUCAGGCUCCUUGGUGCCUCUUCCCUUUUAUAACUCUGUGCAGCCAUUUACCCAUGGACCUGUGGCUAAUCCUGAUACCCAAAUUGGCUCCUCUGAGUCUGAAACAACAUUCAGAGAAAUGAAACUAAAAUAAAGGGAGUUUCUCAUCCAUCUGGAGAUGGGGGAUGGAAGAGGCAACUGCUAGGUCCAAAAAUCAGUCAGACUGUUCUUUAUGACAUGAGUCCCAAACCACAGGUGUGGAUGUAGAAGGGUCUUUCUUCAAAUCUGCAUGUCUGAGUUCUAGUGAUUCACAUCUAAAGCUGUGGCUGCAUAUUCUUGAAUUCAGGGAAGGCUCCAGUAUAAAAUCUCUGGCACAGGAAGUUCAGCUUCCUCUCCAGAUUUCCUUCCUCCACCUCCUUAUAUGCAGAACAGCAGGGAACUCUCUUUGGCCUUGCCAGUGCAAGUGCAAACUCUCAGGACUGCAGAGAGUUUGAGUUUAUGGCCAACACCUUCAGCUCAAGGGUUCAAGGGAGGCAGCACAGACCAGUGGCUCUUGUUGACAACAUUUAAUCCCAAAAUACCCUCACCUGCUGAGCUGUGUUUGGUACCUGCACGUGAAGCUGCACCCAGUCCCUCAGCAAACACGACCAACAAGGGUGACACUCUCAGUGACAUUCAAACCAUUUGCACGGUCAAACUCUUACUGAUGACAGUGAGCAUCAAUCAAUGGCAGAAAUUCAGCCAUCAUGUGACUUUGCUACAAUUACAAAGUAAGAAAAACUGUGGAAGAGCAGGUUUGGAUCCAGUCAAUGCCUAAACUAUCACUAAUUAUACCAGGCUAAUUUCACUUCCUAGGUUUUUAUCUAGGCUUUGGUGUCCUUUAAAAACAGCUUGCUAGACUUCAGGCCAAGGGUCAGGCAGUUCAAUUGCCCAGUUUGAGCCUCAAACUAAAUCAGGAAAAAUGUGAUCAGCAUUACAGCUAGAAGUUGAUGUGAAGUUUGCUGAAAGAAUGGCAACAUCUGA
ensembl:lncRNA